rnacentral:rRNA from 1 species
CUUUACUGUAACCUGGAAUUGGGUUCGGGCUUUGCUUGCGCAGGAUAGGUGGGAGGCGUUGAGAUAUUCCUUGUGGGGAAUGUGGAGCCAACGGUGAGAUACCACUCUGGUGAGGCUAGAAUUCUAACCCGAUGCCGUGAACCGGCUCGAGAACAGUUUCAGGCGGGCAGUUUGACUGGGGCGGUCGCCUCCUAAAAGGUAACGGAGGCGCGCAAAGGUUCUCUCAGGCUGGUUGGAAAUCAGCCGUAGAGUGUAAAGGCAUAAGAGAGCUUGACUGCGAGACAAACACGUCGAGCAGGGUGGAAACACGGCCUUAGUGAUCCGACGGCGCUGCGUGGAAAGGCCGUCGCUAAACGGAUAAAAGUUA